rnacentral:lncRNA from 1 species
AACAAUUACUGUAUUGUGUCCAUAAUAAUAGUAUUAUUCUGGCAUAAACCUUUAUAGCCACCGUUUUGUUCGGGAUUAAGUAAAAACUUGUUAUUUUAGGAAUAUGGUUAAGUUCAGGGUUAAGGUGGAAUUAGAGUAAUUUUGUGUUUGGUUGAGAAUUGGAUUUAGUCCAGGUAUAAGUACAAUAGCGUUUGGUUGGAGUUGGUGGGAUAAAAAGGAUAGUGAGUAAAAUAGUAUUUUAUUUGGUUGGAGUAGUGGGGACCACACUAAAUGGACUAUUCCGAAAUAGCUCAUUUAGGAUGGGAUUAACUAACUCCACCCACCAAAUUGGAUGUUUGGAAAUAACUUCGGAAUUAAAAAAUUAUUUCACCCAUUAACCUCGAAUCAAACUGGUGCUUUGUGACAUACGUCCUAUAAAAGUACAUGUGAAGAGUUUUAAUAUACUUAUAUAU